GAUUUCUGACGAACCGGGGUGGCCCGUUUCCUCUCUGGGAAUGAGUGCCGCUUUGAGUUUGUCAUCCUUCCAGAGAGCUGCGUCUACCGUUUACUCGGCCGGACGUAUGCGAUCUGGAUCUAUUAUUUGAAAAAAUUAGAGUGUUUAAAGCAGGCUUGUGCUAUGAAUACAUUAGCAUGGAAUAAUAAUUUAGGACUUUGGUUCUAUUUUGUUGGUCUCUAGGACUGAAGUAAUGAUUGAUAGGGAUAGUUGGGGGUGCUAGUAUUCAGUGGCCAGAGGUGAAAUUCUCGGAUUCACUGAAGACUAACUUAUGCGAAAGCAUU
rnacentral:rRNA from 1 species